rnacentral:rRNA from 1 species
ACUUUCAACAACGGAUCUCUUGGUUCUCGCAUCGAUGAAGAACGCAGCGAAAUGCGAUAAGUAGUGUGAAUUGCAGAAUUCAGUGAAUCAUCGAAUCUUUGAACGCACAUUGCGCCUCCUGGUACUCCGGGAGGCAUGCCUGUCCGAGCGUCAUUA